rnacentral:misc_RNA from 1 species
UUUCCGUAGGUGAACCUGCGGAAGGAUCAUUACCUUUCAAUGCAGCAGAGUUGGGAUGGUUGAGUAUCUCGCCUUUCAAUUCUGCCUGUAUUCUACCCUUGUUUCUCUUACACUAUUAUUUCCUCGGCAGGCUUGCUUGCCGAGUGAAACCAUUUAUAACCUGUUUAAUUUUCAAUCAGCGUCUGAACAAAUUAAUAAUUACAACUUUCAACAACGGAUCUCUUGGUUCUG